rnacentral:rRNA from 1 species
GAAUAUUGGUCAAUGGACGCAAGUCUGAACCAGCCAUGCCGCGUGAAGGAUGACGGCCCUCUGGGUUGUAAACUUCUUUUAUCUGGGACGAAAAAGGGUCUUUACAGAUCAACUGACGGUACCAGAGGAAUAAGCACCGGCUAACUCCGUGCCAGCAGCCGCGGUAAUACGGAGGGUGCAAGCGUUAUCCGGAUUUACUGGGUUUAAAGGGAGCGCAGGCGGAUUAGUAAGUCAGUGGUGAAAGCCUUGAGCUUAACUCGAGAACUGCCAUUGAUACUAUUAGUCUUGAAUGUUGUUGAGGUUUGCGGAAUGGGUCAUGUAGCGGUGAAAUGCAUAGAUAUGACCCGGAACACCUAUUGCGCAGGCAGCAGGCUAAACAAAUAUUGACGCUGAGGCUCGAAAGCGUGGGGAUCAAACAGG